AACUCUUCAAUUUUAAGCAGAACGGUUCACCUUUUAUGCAUGAAUAAUGGCUGUACUUGAAAAUAUGAGCGUCACAACCACAUUGUAGGCCAGCUUGUGCUUUUGUGGUCCAAGCCUGGCCCUAGGAGUUUCAUGACAGUUGACAGACAUACGUUGCAAUACAUGAAAGCAAUAACUUUGUCCAAUUUGAGGAAUUAAUGAUAGCGGCCA
rnacentral:lncRNA from 1 species